GUUGUGGUUCAGUGGUAGAGCACUCGCCUAGCAUGUGUGAGGCACUAUGUUCAAUCCCCGGCACCACA
rnacentral:tRNA from 1 species